CAGAGAGAACAUAAGUUUAUCAUUAAUUCAAUUUAAAAUAAAGAAAACAGUCAAUUAAAUAACGUAUUGUCGUUUUCCUCAAAAUACAGUCUAAGCACAAAUAUGAUAUAGAAAAUAUUUUACAAAGCAAGCCUCUUGCGCUCUUCUUGUAAAUCGUUCAUUUGCAUGCCACGGUUGUCGUGUUGUUCAGGAAGCAGGAACUCGUCAUCGUUGAAUCCAACUCUCUCAACCAACACCCAUCUACGUCUUCGUCGAGAUUUUCUGAAACUACACAGACAGCAGCACACCAAGCCUGU